UACGUAGGGGGCAAGCGUUGUCCGGAUUUAUUGGGCGUAAAGAGCGUGUAGGCGGCUUUGUAAGUUAGAGGUGAAAGCCCGGGGCUCAACUCCGGAAUUGCCUUUAAGACUGCAUCGCUAGAAUUGUGGAGAGGUAAGUGGAAUUCCGAGUGUAGAGGUGAAAUUCGUAGAUAUUCGGAAGAACACCAGUGGCGAAGGCGACUUACUGGACACAUAUUGACGCUGAGGUGCGAAAAGCGUGGGGAGCAAACAGGG
rnacentral:rRNA from 1 species